CGAACCGGGCAGCAAGGGGGUUACAAAAGAGGUUUUGACCACCACGGUUGUUUUUUUCCUCUCCUUCGUCUUUCGAGCUGAGGAGAGAGAGAGAGACAGAGAGAGAGAGAAAUGCUGCGCCUCCAUUGUGAGGCGUUCAAACGAGGGGGAGCAGAGUUGAGUUUUAUGUUAUUAAAAAAUCGUCGUAAUGUGUGUUGUGUUAAAGAUUUACGUUCUUUUUUGAGCGAACUAAGUCCGAAAAUACCCGCACGGGAGCCCUAUACGGCCGGGGGCGCACAUAUCCACCACCAAGCCUGGCGGUCAAGUCUUUAAGGCCAGAUGACUGAAGUCUUAGCCUUUAUGGUUCACGUGGGUUCCAGACGCCGCUGUUGAGCCCAGCAUGGCUGAAACCGGAGCUGGCAGAGGCAUGGGCCUGAGCUGUAGCCGUUGAAGCGGUGAGCAUGAAAGCACAGCAGCCUGGGGCUUUUCCUGAUGCAAGCACAGAGACCAAGCCACAAACACACCCAGUGUCCACCUUCAGAGACUCAGGCCAGGGGGAAGGGUAGCUUACAAAGCUGCUGAACCUCAUGUUGUAGUGUUCCUAAAUGUUAUCUAAACGGCCAACAGACAUGCAUGACUGUUUCUGAGCUCCGGAUGUUCAGCCAAAACCUGCAGUAAAACUUGUCUGAUUGGUGAAAAGAAACAGGCUGUAUGCUCAUUAAUUCAGACGUUCUUCAUCAAAUAUUAGGGCUUUUUCAUUAAGUCGCAGUUGUU